ensembl:lncRNA
GUCCGAAGCAUGGCCGAGGGACGCAGCGUCUCGUUCCCUAUUCUCAGGGAACCAUGGUUACAUGUGUAACCUGAGACGUUCCCUUUCGAAAGGGAACUCCACGCUGCGUCCUCUAGAGGGCGCUAGGGGAACGAUAUCUCAACGCCGCCAUGCUGAGGGACGAGCUCAAACAACUGGAUUCCCUGAGUCAGACUCAAAGGAACGUCAUAGAUUAGCUCACCCACCAACGUCUGGAGCUCCAGAGUGGAGGUCAAGCAAACAACUCUCGGAACGAAAGGAGACCUGGCUACACUCAACACUAGACAAUUAGUAAGGCUCAGAGGAAGAGUCUGCACCUUUAAACUGCCUAUGCGGAGCUCUGGAGAGUGGAGGCUUCAGCAGAACGACUCUCUUACAUGAGAGGAGGCCAAACCUACUCAACAUAAGACUGUUUAUCAAGGCGGCCUCAAAGAGGGCCGAACAGUUGAUUACACUAACUAGAGCUUAUAUGAGCGGAGGCCUCAGCAGAAAGACUCUCUAAGCGAGAGGAAGCCAAACCUGCUCAACCUAACUGGAGCUCUGAUGAGUGGAGGCCUCAGCAGAAUGACUCUCUUAAGCGAGAGGAGGCCAAACCUACUCGACAUAAGACUGUUUAUCAAGGCGGCCUCACAGAGGGCCGAACACUUGAUUCCAAGUCUAGCUGGAGCUCAGGUGAGCGGAGGCCUCAGCAGAUUGACUCUCUAAGCGAGAGGAAGCCAAACCUACUCAACCUAACUGGAGCUCUGGUGAGCGGAGGCCUCAGCAGAUUGACUCUCUAAGCGAGAGGAAGCCAAACCUACUCAACCUAACUGGAGCUCUGAUGAGCGGAUGCCUCAGCAGAAUGACUCUCUCAAGCGAGAGGAGGCCAAACCUACUUAACCUAACUUGAGCUCUGAUGAGCGGGGGCCUCAGCAGAAUGACUCUCUUAAGCGAGAGGAGACCAAACCUACUCAACAUAAGACUGUUCAUCAAGGCGGCCUCACAGAGGGCCGAACACUUGAUUACACUGCCUAACUGGAGCUCUGAUGAGCGGAGGCCUCAGCAGAAAGACUCUCUUAAGUGAGAGGAGACCAAACCUACUCAGCUAUAUGACAGUUUACCAAGGUGGCCCACCAAAGGGCCGAAACCAAAUGUCACUGCAUAGAACUUAUACUACCACACUACCAGAUACAGGCUUUCACCGAACCUCAGUAUAACAGAAAGUGUAAGCUACACAAAUCUGCUCAAACAUCAUAGGUUCAGUUCAGGGCCCGAUGUGAAGCGUGGUGAAUACCUCAGAACCCAAUGGUGUGAGGGGGGGGGGGGCUAGGAUAGGAAGGAGAAAGGAAAAUUAUCUCUUUCCUUUAACGUGAGGCACAUCUGUUCCACCCACGCGUUUGGCUUCAAUAACCUCCCUCAAGUCCUUCCUCUUCCUCCUCAUGUCUCUCCGUUUUUGAGUCCUGCUCCUGCCAGCAGGGGGAGGAGGAGGAGCCCGAGUUGCCACACUUCGCCGCUGAGCCUGCCUGUAAUCCACAGAUGCAGACGGCCC